rnacentral:rRNA from 1 species
UACGUAGGGGCAAGCGUUGUCCGGAAUCAUUGGGCGUAAAGAGCGUGUAGGUGGCCCGGUCAGUCCGCCGUUGAAAGUCCAGGGCUCAACCCUGGAAUGCCGGUGGAUACUGCCGGGCUGGAGUCCGGAAGAGGCGAGUGGAAUUCCUGGUGUAGCGGUGAAAUGCGCAGAGUAUCAAGGAGGAACACCAUGGCGAAGGCAGCUCGCUGGGACGGUACUGACACUGAGACGCGAAAGCGUGGGGAGCGAACGG